AUGGACGAAAGUCUGAUGGAGCAACGCCGCGUGAGUGAAGAAGGGUUUCGGCUCGUAAAACUCUGUUGUUAAAGAAGAACAUAUCUGAGAGUAACUGUUCAGGUAUUGACGGUAUUUAACCAGAAAGCCACGGCUAACUACGUGCCAGCAGCCGCGGUAAUACGUAGGUGGCAAGCGUUGUCCGGAUUUAUUGGGCGUAAAGCGAGCGCAGGCGGUUUUUUAAGUCUGAUGUGAAAGCCUUCGGCUCAACCGAAGAAGUGCAUCGGAAACUGGGAAACUUGAGUGCAGAAGAGGACAGUGGAACUCCAUGUGUAGCGGUGAAAUGCGUAGAUAUAUGGAAGAACACCAGUGGCGAAGGCGGCUGUCUGGUCUGUAACUGACGCUGAGGCUCGAAAGUAUGGGUAGCAAACAGGAUUAGAUACCCUGGUAGUCCAUACCGUAAACGAUGAAUGCUAAGUGUUGGAGGGUUUCCGCCCUUCAGUGCUGCAGCUAACGCAUUAAGCAUUCCGCCUGGGGAGUACGGCCGCAAGGCUGAAACUCAAAGGAAUUGACGGGGGCCCGCACAAGCGGUGGAGCAUGUGGUUUAAUUCGAAGCUACGCGAAGAACCUUACCAGGUCUUGACAUACUAUGCAAAUCUAAGAGAUUAGACGUUCCCUUCGGGGACAUGGAUACAGGUGGUGCAUGGUUGUCGUCAGCUCGUGUCGUGAGAUGUUGGGUUAAGUCCCGCAACGAGCGCAACCCUUAUUAUCAGUUGCCAGCAUUAAGUUGGGCACUCUGGUGAGACUGCCGGUGACAAACCGGAGGAAGGUGGGGAUGACGUCAAAUCAUCAUGCCCCUUAUGACCUGGGCUACACACGUGCUACAAUGGAUGGUACAACGAGUUGCGAACUCGCGAGAGUAAGCUAAUCUCUUAAAGCCAUUCUCAGUUCGGAUUGUAGGCUGCAACUCGCCUACAUGAAGUCGGAAUCGCUAGUAAUCGCGGAUCAGCAUGCCGCGGUG
rnacentral:rRNA from 2 species